rnacentral:lncRNA from 1 species
GGCCGACUUCCUCGGGCACAGGGCCCUCCAGGAGUUUCACGUCCACCUGGCCAGCCUGGACCUUCACGUCGGCGGAAAGGGGCUGAAUGCUGAGGUCAGUGGUCUUGAGGUCCCCCUGCAUGGAGGGGAGGCUCACAUCAGCUUCCACCUUCGGCUCAGACACAUCCACCGAGGCCUCGAUGGACUUGCCUGGGGCCGAC